UACGUAGGGGGCAAGCGUUGUCCGGAUUUAUUGGGCGUAAAGAGCGUGUAGGCGGCCUGAAAGGUCAGCUGUGAAAACUCGAGGCUCAACCUCGAGGCGUCGGUUGAAACCAUCUGGCUAGAGUCCGGAAGAGGGAUGCGGAAUUCCAGGUGUAGCGGUGAAAUGCGUAGAUAUCUGGAGGAACACCGGUGGCGAAGGCGGCAUCCUGGACCGACACUGACGCUGAGGAGCGAAAGCCAGGGGAGCAAACGGG
rnacentral:rRNA from 1 species